rnacentral:sRNA from 1 species
CAUCUGCAACCGCACACAGAUGGUUAGAAGUGAAUCUAAAAAAGAUUUCACCAUUUCGUGGCGAGUCUAAGUAUUU